AUUGAACGCUGGCGGCAUGCCUUACACAUGCAAGUCGAACGGUAACAGGGCUUCGGAUGCUGACGAGUGGCGCACGGGGGAGUAAUACAUCGGAACGUGCGCAGACGUGGGGGAUAACGAGGCGAAAGCUUUGCUAAUACCGCAUACGAUCUAAGAAUGAAAGAAGGGGACCGCAAGGGCCUUUGCGUUUUGAGCGGCCGAUGGCAGAUUAGGUAGUUGGUGGGAGAAAAGCUUACCAAGCCGACGAUCUGUAGCUGGUCUGAGAGGACGACCAGCCACACUGGGACUGAGACACGGCCCAGACUCCUACGGGAGGCAGCAGUGGGGAAUUUUGGACAAUGGGCGAAAGCCUGAUCCAGCAAUGCCGCGUGCAGGAUGAAGGCCUUCGGGUUGUAAACUGCUUUUGUACGGAAAGAAAAGGCUCUGGCUAAUACCUCGGGCACAUGACGGUACCGUAAGAAUAAGCACCGGCUAACUACGUG
rnacentral:rRNA from 1 species